rnacentral:rRNA from 1 species
AGGGAAUUUUCCACAAUGGACGAAAGUCUGAUGGAGCAACGCCGCGUGAACGAUGAAGGUCUUCGGAUUGUAAAGUUCUGUUGUCAGAGACGAACAAGUACCGUUCGAACAGGGCGGUACCUUGACGGUACCUGACGAGAAAGCCACGGCUAACUACGUGCCAGCAGCCGCGGUAAUACGUAGGUGGCAAGCGUUGUCCGGAAUUAUUGGGCGUAAAGCGCGCGCAGGCGGCUAUGUAAGUCUGGUGUUAAAGCCCGGGGCUCAACCCCGGUUCGCAUCGGAAACUGUGUAGCUUGAGUGCAGAAGAGGAAAGCGGUAUUCCACGUGUAGCGGUGAAAUGCGUAGAGAUGUGGAGGAACACCAGUGGCGAAGGCGGCUUUCUGGUCUGUAACUGACGCUGAGGCGCGAAAGCGUGGGGAGCAAAC